rnacentral:lncRNA from 1 species
AGACGAGGCCGGGAGACGCUGCAGGGAGUCUCUGCGGCCGCCGAGGCUCUGAAGACGGAGGGAGGGCCUGGCCCGGACGGGCCACUCCUGGGGCUGACGCAGGCGGCGGGUCCUCCCCAGGCCCCAGCAGAACCGGCCUUGCUCGCCCCACACUGGGCUUCCAACCUCCAGAGCUGCGAGAUGAUAAAUCUGUGCGGCGUUGCGGUCACUUGCUCCGGCGGCCACAGGAAGCUCUCACAUGAGGGAAAACCAAUUAAACUAGAACGUCAGAGAAACACA